GUACCUUAAUGAACAAAUUAUUGUUAUUUUUCUUAUCCUGUUUUAAAACUCUUCAAGCAUCUCAAGAAUCAGUUUCUCAGAUGACUCCUGUGUACGCAUAUAUACGUAUGCAGUAAAACUUUGAAUGUAGACACUGAGGCACAGAGAAGCAUCACACUGUUCAACUGAGAGUAGAUCCUCCAUCUGUGCUCGGCCUGCCAGGGAAACUCACCUUUCCUGUUUGAAAUAGUGAACCACUUGGAAACUGAGGAUUGGAUACCUACCCUCCGCUCCCCAUACCUUGCUCCACCCUUUUCUCCACCACCCAAAGCUCAUCUGCUGCCUCACUGCGGACUCACCCAGGAGCAGAAGGGCUGUCAGUGCCCACAUGAUGGAUCUGACUGCAGCAGCUGCAGAAGGAUGGAGAUGUGCUGGCAUGAGAUGGGGAACAAAGAGAAAGAAA